rnacentral:sRNA from 1 species
GAUGCAUGGCAGAUGAGCAGGUUGAGAGCCUCACCUUCAGGAGCACAGCGGGCCGAGGCCUUCGUGAGGGCCUUCCUGAAGCGCAGCACGCCCCGCAUGAGCCCGCAGGCCCGCGAGGACCAGCUGCAGCGCAAGGCGGUGGUCCUGGAGUACUUCACCCGCCACAAGCGCAAGGAGAAGAAGAAGAAAGCCAAAGGCCUCUCUGCCAGGCAAAGGAGGGAGCUGCGGCUCUUUGACAUUAAACCAGAGCAGCAGAGAUACAGCCUUUUCCUCCCUCUCCAUGAACUCUGGAAACAGUACAUCAGGGACCUGUGCAAUGGGCUCAAGCCAGACACGCAGCCACAGAUGAUUCAGGCCAAGCUCUUAAAGGCAGAUCUUCACGGGGCUAUUAUUUCAGUGACAAAAUCCAAAUGCCCCUCUUAUGUGGGUAUUACAGGAAUCCUUCUACAGGAAACAAAGCACAUUUUCAAAAUUAUCACCAAAGAAGACCGCCUGAAAGUUAUCCCCAAGCUAAACUGCGUGUUUACUGUGGAAACCGAUGGCUUUAUUU